rnacentral:tRNA from 1 species
CGGGACGUGGCGCAGCCAGGUAGCGCACCUGCUUUGGGAGCAGGGGGUCGCCGGUUCAAAUCCGGCCGUCCCGACCA